CAUAACUAAUGCUGUUUGUGAUGUCAUGAAAAGAAUGCUUAUUUGUAAAUUUUCAAUUAGUGUUAAUCUUUGGUACAAUUGUAAGGUUAUAGAGACACUGAUAGUUUGAUAUUACAUGAUGUUAAUCUUUGGUACAAUUGUAAGGUUAUACAGACACUGAUAGUUUGAUAUUACAUGAUGUUAAUCUUUGGUACAAUUGUAAGGUUAUACAGACACUGAUAGUUUGAUAUUACAUGAUGUUAAUCUUUGGUACAAUUGUAAGGUUAUACAGACACUGAUAGUUUGAUAUUACAUGAUGUUAAUCUUUGGUACAAUUGUAAGGUUAUAGAGACACUGAUAGUUUGAUAUUACAUAACAUUAAUCUUUGGUACAAUUGUAAGGUUAUAGAGACACUGAUAGUUUGAUAUUACAUGACGUUAA